rnacentral:rRNA from 1 species
CCCCGGGCUCAACCUGGGAAUUGCGUUNUGAACUGGGUGGCUAGAGUGUNUCAGAGGGGGGUAGAAUUCCACGUGUAGCAGUGAAAUGCGUAGAGAUGUGGAGGAAUACCGAUGGCGAAGGCAGCCCCCUGGGAUGGCACUGACGUUCAUGCCCGAAAGCGUGGGUAGCAAACAGGAUUAGAUACCCUGGUAGUCCACGCCCUAAACGAUGUCGAUUAGCUGUUGGGCAACUUGAUUGCUUGGUAGCGAAGCUAACGCGUGAAAUCGACCGCCUGGGGAGUACGGUCGCAAGAUUAAAACUCAAAGGAAUUGACGGGGACCCGCACAAGCGGUGGAUGAUGUGGAUUAAUUCGAUGCAACGCGAAGAACCUUACCUGGUCUUGACAUGUACGGAACCUUCCGGAGACGGAAGGGUGCCUUCGGGAGCCGUAACACAGGUGCUGCAUGGCUGUCGUCAGCUCGUGUCGUGAGAUGUUGGGUUAAGUCCCGCAACGAGCGCAACCCUUGUCAUUAGUUGCCAUCAUUUGGUUGGGCACUCUAAUGAGACUGCCGGUGACAAGCCGGAGGAAGGUGGGGAUGACGUCAAGUCCUCAUGGCCCUUAUGACCAGGGCUUCACACGUCAUACAAUGGUCGGUACAGAGGGUAGCCAAGCCGCGAGGUGGAGCCAAUCCCAAAAAACCGAUCGUAGUCCGGAUUGCACUCUGCAACUCGGGUGCAUGAAGUCGGAAUCGCUAGUAAUCGCAGGUCAGCAUACUGCGGUGAAUACGUUCCCGGGUCUUGUACACACCGCCCGUCACACCAUGGGAGUGGGGGAUACCAGAAGCAGGU